rnacentral:lncRNA from 1 species
GCCCACGCCAUGGCGCCCUAGGAGAACGCGGGGACAGAACUCUUGCUGCAGAGUUUCGAGCGCCGCUUCCUGGCGGCGCGCUCACUGCGCUCCUUCCCCUGGCAGAGCUUAGAAGCAAAGUUAAGAGACUCAUCAGAUUCUGAGCUGCGGCGGGAUAUUUUGCAGAAGGUUACCUAACCAAACUCCUGUAAAACCACACCACCUAUGCCUGUGAUGGGGACUAUCUGAAUCUACAGUGCCCUCGGCAUUCUACAAUAAGUGUCCAAUCGGCAUUUUAUGGACAAGAUUACCCAAUGUGUAGUUCCCAGAAGCCUGCCUGCCAGAGGGAAGACAGCUUAACUUGUGUGGCACCCACCACCUUCCAGAUGAAUUAAAAAACAAAACCGUGUGUGAAGACAAGGAGCUGAAACUGCACUGCCAUGAAUCCAAGUUCCUCAACAUCUACUCUGUGACCUAUGGCAGGAGGAUCCAGGAAAGGGACAUGUGCUCCUCCAAGGCAGAGCGGCUCCCCCCCUUUUCAUUCCCAAGAACAUACUCACAGUGAUUGAUCCAGCCAUUGGUAAUCUAAAACCUUCUUUGAAGCAGAAAGAUGGUGAAUAUGGUAUGAACUUCGACCCAAGCGAAUCGAAGGUUCUGAGGAAAGAUGGAAUCCUUGUUAGUGACUCUCUGGCAGCCUUUGCUUACAUUAGAG